rnacentral:rRNA from 1 species
GACGAACGCUGGCGGCGUGCUUAACACAUGCAAGUCGAACGGAAAGGCCCUGCUUUUGUGGGGUGCUCGAGUGGCGAACGGGUGAGUAACACGUGAGUAACCUGCCCUUGACUUUGGUAUAACUUCAGGAAACUGGGGCUAAUACCGGAUAGGAGCUCCUGCUGCAUGGUGGGGGUUGGAAAGUUUCGGCGGUUGGGGAUGGACUCGCGGCUUAUCAGCUUGUUGGUGGGGUAGUGGCUUACCAAGGCUUUGGCGGGUAGCCGGCCUGAGAGGGUGACCGGCCACAUUGGGACUGAGAUACGGCCCAGACUCCUACGGGGGGCAGCAGUGGGGAAUAUUGCACAAUGGGCGGAAGCCUGAUGCAGCAACGCCGCGUGCGGGAUGACGGCCUUCGGGGUGUAAACCGCUUUCGCCUGUGACGAAGCGUGAGUGACGGUAAUGGGUAAAGAAGCACCGGCUAACUACGUG